UACGUAGGGUGCGAGCGUUGUCCGGAAUUAUUGGGCGUAAAGGGCGCGUAGGCGGCCGGCCAAGUCGGGUGUGAAAUCCCUCGGCUCAACCGAGGAACUGCACUCGAUACUGGCUGGCUAGAGUCCGGGAGGGGAUGGUGGAAUUCCCAGUGUAGCGGUGAAAUGCGUAGAUAUUGGGAAGAACACCGGUGGCGAAGGCGGCCAUCUGGACCGGAACUGACGCUGAGGCGCGAAAGCCAGGGGAGCGAAUGGG
rnacentral:rRNA from 1 species